rnacentral:rRNA from 1 species
AUGGGGUGCCGGCCCACCGUCGCCAUGCUGCUGGUGCAGAUCGGCUUCGCCGGGAACAACCUGCUGUCCAAGAUGGCGUUGGACAGCGGCGCCAGCCCGUACGUGCUCAUCUCCUGCCGGAGCUUCAUAGCCGCCGUCUUCCUCGCACCCUUCGCCAUCUACUUCGAGAGGAAUAAAUGGGCGAUGAUCACCAAGAAAGUAAUUAUCCACAUACUCAUUUCGUCCCCUCUCGGCAUGGCAGUGAGCGAGCUGCUCUUCUUCGUGGGGUUCCAGUCCACCGGCCCGACCGUGGCCUGCGCGAUCGGCAACGUCGUCCCGGCCCUCACCUUCGCCAUAGCCGCCUCGUUGAGGAUGGAGGCGGUGUGGCUUGGGACACCCGCCGGGAAGGCCAAGGUGGCCGGCACGCUCGUCUGCGUCGGCGGCUCUAUGAUCAUGCCCUUGUACAAGGGCCCGCUCCUCAAGGUCCCAGCCUCCCCUGUCCACUGGCGCUACGCGGAGCACGCCACCAUCGCCGCGGCGGCGGCUCCACAGGUACUAUUGAAAUCAAUGAUGUUGGCCGUACGUGACGUGAUGAUCGAUCGUGUAAUUAAAUUUGCUUUGCAGAAAAAGACGUCGGAGGAUUUCUCGGCGCCGUACACCAGCACGACAAUCAUGUCCCUCAUAGUGUCGAUUGAGUGCGCGGGCGUCAGCGCCGCCGUGGACCGGAGCCUCGCCGUGUGGAACCUUGGACUCGGCAUCAGGCUCUACUCCGUGCUCUACAUGGGCAUCGUCGGCUGGGGUGUCACGUUCGCGGUGAUGACGUGGUGCAUCCAGGCCCGCGGCCCGCUCUUCGUCUCCAUGUUCAACCCGGUGGUGCUCGUCGUCAUCGCCGUUCUCGGGUGGGCUGUCCUCGACGAGCAGCUCCAUGUCGGAAGUGCUAUUGGGUCGGCUCUCAUUGUUGGCGGGCUGUACAUGGUGUUGUGGGGCAAGGGGAGUGAGAUGAGCAGACCGGCGGCCCUAGUCGACGGCAAAAGUGAAGCGGAGAUCACCGCGAAGGGCCCGGAGCCGAAGAGUGACACCACCGAUUCCUUCUCCUUGCCAGUUUGA